rnacentral:rRNA from 1 species
UACGGAGGGGGCUAGCGUUGUUCGGAAUUACUGGGCGUAAAGCGCACGUAGGCGGAUUGGAAAGUUGGGGGUGAAAUCCCGGGGCUCAACCCCGGAACUGCCUUCAAAACUCCCAGUCUGGAGGUCGAGAGAGGUGAGUGGAAUUCCGAGUGUAGAGGUGAAAUUCGUAGAUAUUCGGAAGAACACCAGUGGCGAAGGCGACUCACUGGA